rnacentral:rRNA from 1 species
GACUCCUACGGGAGGCAGCAGUGGGGAAUAUUGCGCAAUGGGGGAAACCCUGACGCAGCCAUGCCGCGUGUGUGAAGAAGGCCUUAGGGUUGUAAAGCACUUUCAAUUGGGAGGAAAGGUUGUACGUUAAUAGCGUGCAGCUGUGACGUUACCUUUAGAAGAAGCACCGGCUAACUCCGUGCCAGCAGCCGCGGUAAUACGGAGGGUGCGAGCGUUAAUCGGAAUUACUGGGCGUAAAGCGCGCGUAGGCGGUUUGUUAAGUCGGAUGUGAAAGCCCCGGGCUCAACCUGGGAACUGCAUUCGAUACUGGCCGACUAGAGUACGAGAGAGGGAGGUAGAAUUCCAUGUGUAGCGGUGAAAUGCGUAGAUAUGUGGAGGAAUACCGGUGGCGAAGGCGGCCUCCUGGCUCGAUACUGACGCUGAGGUGCGAAAGCAUGGGUAGCAAACAGGAUUAGAUACCCUGGUAGUCCACGCCGUAAACGAUGUCUACUAGCCGUUGGGAGACUUGAUUUCUUAGUGGCGCAGCUAACGCAAUAAGUAGACCGCCUGGGGAGUACGGCCGCAAGGUUAAAACUCAAAUGAAUUGACGGGGGCCCGCACAAGAGAU